UACGUAGGGUGCAAGCGUUGUCCGGAAUUAUUGGGCGUAAAGAGCUCGUAGGCGGUUUGUCGCGUCUGCUGUGAAAACUCGGGGCUUAACCCCGGGCCUGCAGUGGGUACGGGCAGACUAGAGUGCGGUAGGGGAGACUGGAAUUCCUGGUGUAGCGGUGAAAUGCGCAGAUAUCAGGAGGAACACCGGUGGCGAAGGCGGGUCUCUGGGCCGUAACUGACGCUGAGGAGCGAAAGCUAGGGUAGCCAAAGGG
rnacentral:rRNA from 1 species